AUUGAACGCUGGCGGCAUGCCUUACACAUGCAAGUCGAACGGUAGCACGGGUGCUUGCACCUGGUGGCGAGUGGCGAACGGGUGAGUAAUACAUCGGAACGUACCUUGUCGUGGGGGAUAACGCAGCGAAAGCUGUGCUAAUACCGCAUACGCCCUGAGGGGGAAAGCGGGGGAUCGCAAGACCUCGCGCGAUUAGAGCGGCCGAUGCCUGAUUAGCUUGUUGGUGGGGUAAAAGCCCACCAAGGCGACGAGCAGUAGCUGGUCUGAGAGGACGAUCAGCCACACUGGGACUGAGACACGGCCCAGACUCCUACGGGAGGCAGCAGUGGGGAAUUUUGGACAAUGGGGGCAACCCUGAUCCAGCAAUGCCGCGUGAGUGAAGAAGGCCUUCGGGUUGUAAAGCUCUUUUGUCAGGGAAGAAACACCGGCUCUAACACAGUCCGGGAAUGACGGUACCUGAAGAAUAAGCACCGGCUAACUACGUGCCAGCCGCCGCAGUAA
rnacentral:rRNA from 1 species